GAAAAUCACCGACGUUCAGAAAAGGAAUCAGUUCUUGGCAAAGUUCGGGGACUGGCUGGCUGACAGGGGGAUCAACCCUUAUAGAAUGGCCGUGGCGGACAAGGGGUCCAUGAAGGAGAUGGUGAUAAAGUACCACGUCUUAUAUAGAAUAUCAUCCGAGAUUGCCCAAUUUAAGGAUGGCAUGGAUGACGUAUGCGGCAUGUUGGGGAUGGUAACAAAACAUGCCAGUGUAUUCCAACCGCUGUUUUGCAAUCGUUCUAAACCUCUAACGAAACAGGAAAUGGACAUAAUCAUUCGGUAUGAUUUCAGUGAGCUCGGAUCUAAUGCCAGGAUAUCUUAAGAUGAGACUGUCUACGCAUGGGGGCUCUUUUUGCAGGACAUUGAAGAUGGAAUUGUUCCAACAACAAGGGAAGAAUUGCUGUCGUUCAUUUCCGGAGCAUCCAGUAUUCCCUCCUUGGGCUUUUAAAAGCCGAUUGAAAUACAUUUCUAUAUGCAAGAAGACUGAGUGACCCGUCUUCCAUAUGCAUCAACAUGUUCUCUGGACUUGUGGCUGCCUAGAGGACAGAAACCAGAGAGCUUAUCUACCCUUCUAUUGAAGAGUGUUAAUGAGUCAAUGGGAUUUGUUUAAAUAUGAAAAUCGCUACACAAAAAAGGGUUAAACUACAAAAAAACACACUAUGAGUCUAUUUAUGCCACCAGAACCUCCUAUGUUCUGAGGGCAUAUUAAAAUCGCACCGUUUGUAAGUCCGUCCGGAUUAGUUUCCACGCAAUAAAUCAAGGAGUUUUCAUCUGAUUUUCACCAAACUUGGUCAGAAGUUGUAUUUAGAUGAUGUCAAGGCCAAGCUCGAAGAAGGGUCAUGCCAGGUCAAAAACUAGCUCACUGGGUAACGUAGUGGCUUUUAAACAUUCAGCAUGGUUUCCGCUCAAUAAGUCAAGUAGUUUUCAUCUGAUCUUCAUCAAACGUGGUCAGAAGUUGUAUCUAUAUGAUCUCAAGGCCAAGUUGAGACAUGGAUAAUGCCGGGUUAAAAACUAGGUCACCGGGCCAUUUGUAAUAUUCAGCAUGGUGUCCGCUAGGUAAUUCAAGUAGUUUUCAUUCGAUCUUCACCAAACUUGAUCAGAAGUUGUAUCUAGAUGAUGUCUAGGCCAAGUUUGCAGAAUGGUCAUGCCAGGUCAUUUUAUUGCAUUUUUCUAUCAGUUUAAUUUUGUAUUUUUUCCAAACAGCGCACGGAAGUGCGUAUUUGCGUUUUCCCAUCUACGCCCAUGUCAGUGCAAAUAAAAGUGUUAAAAGUGUGAAAGAUAAAAGUGUGUUAGAUUUAUU